GAUGAACGCUGGCGGCGUGCCUAAUACAUGCCAGUCGAGCGAACACACGAGGAGCUUUUUCUUCUAACGUUAGCGGCGGACGGGUGAGUAACACGUGCAUAACCUUCUACUAUGUCUGGGAUAACUUCGGGAGACCGGUUAUAAUACUAGAUCAUAUAUUGUACCGCAUGGAUCAAUAGUGAAAGACGGCUUUGCUGUCUCAUAUAGAUGGAUCCGCGUCGCAUUAGCUAGUUGGUAAGGUAACGGCUUACCAAGGCAACGAUGCGUAGCCGACCUGAGAGGGUGAUCAGCCACACUGGAACUGAGACACGGUCCAGACUCCUACGGGAGGCAGCAGUAGGGAAUCUUCCACAAUGGGCGAAAGCCUGACGGAGCAACGCCGCGUGAGUGAUGAAGGUCUUCGGAUCGUAAAACUCUGUUAUUAGGGAAGAACAAAUGUAUAAGAAACUAUGCACGUCUUGACGGUACCUAAACAGUAAGCCACGGCUAACUACGUG
rnacentral:rRNA from 1 species